GGUGACCUCGGAUCAGUAGAUGCA
rnacentral:rRNA from 1 species